GGUUAAGUGGGAAACGAUGUGGGAAGGCCCAGACAGCCAGGAUGUUGGCUUAGAAGCAGCCAUCAUUUAAAGAAAGCGUAAUAGCUCACUGGUCGAGUCGGCCUGCGCGGAAGAUGUAACGGGGCUAAACCAUGCACCGAAGCUGCGGCAGCGACACUGUGUGUUGUUGGGUAGGGGAGCGUUCUGUAAGCCUGUGAAGGUGUGUCGUGAGGCAUGCUGGAGGUAUCAGAAGUGCGAAUGCUGACAUAAGUAACGAUAAAGCGGGUGAAAAGCCCGCUCGCCGGAAGACCAAGGGUUCCUGUCCAACGUUAAUCGGGGCAGGGUGAGUCGACCCCUAAGGCGAGGCCGAAAGGCGUAGUCGAUGGGAAACGGGUUAAUAUUCCCGUACUUGGUGUUACUGCGAAGGGGGGACGGAGAAGGCUAUGUUGGCCGGGCGACGGUUGUCCCGGUUUAAGCGUGUAGGUGUGUGUUCCAGGUAAAUCCGGUUCACUUUAACACUGAGGCGUGACGACGAGGCACUACGGUGCUGAAGCAACAAAUGCCCUGCUUCCAGGAAAAGCCUCUAAGCAUCAGGUAACAUCAAAUCGUACCCCAAACCGACACAGGUGGUCAGGUAGAGAAUACCAAGGCGCUUGAGAGAACUCGGGUGAAGGAACUAGGCAAAAUGGUGCCGUAACUUCGGGAGAAGGCACGCUGACACGUAGGUGAAGUGAUUUACUCAUGGAGCUGAAGUCAGUCGAAGAUACCAGCUGGCUGCAACUGUUUAUUAAAAACACAGCACUGUGCAAACACGAAAGUGGACGUAUACGGUGUGACGCCUGCCCGGUGCCGGAAGGUUAAUUGAUGGGGUCAGCGCAAGCGAAGCUCCUGAUCGAAGCCCCGGUAAACGGCGGCCGUAACUAUAACGGUCCUAAGGUAGCGAAAUUCCUUGUCGGGUAAGUUCCGACCUGCACGAAUGGCGUAAUGAUGGCCAGGCUGUCUCCACCCGAGACUCAGUGAAAUUGAACUCGCUGUGAAGAUGCAGUGUACCCGCGGCAAGACGGAAAGACCCCGUGAACCUUUACUAUAGCUUGACACUGAACAUUGAGCCUUGAUGUGUAGGAUAGGUGGGAGGCUUUGAAGUGUGGACGCCAGUCUGCAUGGAGCCGACCUUGAAAUACCACCCUUUAAUGUUUGAUGUUCUAACGUGGACCCGUUACCCGGGUUGCGGACAGUGUCUGGUGGGUAGUUUGACUGGGGCGGUCUCCUCCUAAAGAGUAACGGAGGAGCACG
rnacentral:rRNA from 1 species